GAUGAAGAACGCAGCGAAAUGCGAUAAGUAAUGCGAAUUGCAGAAUCCGUGAGUCAUCGAAUCUUUGAACGCACAUUGCGCCCGCCAGUAUUCUGGCGGGCAUGCCUGUUCGAGCGUCAUUUCAACCAUCAAGCCCCCGGCUUGUGUUGGGGACCUGCGGCUGCCGCAGGCCCUGAAAAGCAGUGGCGGGCUCGCUGUCACACCGAGCGUAGUAGCAUACAUCUCGCUCUGGGCGUGCUGCGGGUUCCGGCCGUUAAACCACCUUCAUAACCCAAGGUUGACCUCGGAUCAGGUAGGAAGACCCGCUGAACUUAAGCAUAUCAAUAAGCGGAGGA
rnacentral:misc_RNA from 1 species